rnacentral:rRNA from 1 species
GCGGGGCGGGGGGCGGGCGGCGGGGGCCAGACGAGCGGAAGCCGGAAGAGCUGGCGCUCGGGUGAGGAGUGGCGGACGGGUGAGUAAUGUCCGGGAAACCGCCUGAUGGAGGGGGAUAACUACUGGAAACGGUAGCUAAUACCGCAUAACGUCGCAAGACAAAAGAGGGGGACCUUCGGGCCUCUUGCCAUCAGAUGUGCCCAGAUGGGAUUAGCUAGUAGGUGGGGUAACGGCUCACCUAGGCGACCAUCCCUAGCUGGUCUGAGAGGAUGACCAGCCACACUGGAACUGAGACACGGUCCAGACUCAACUCGGAGGCAGGAGUGGGGAAUAUAGAAAAAGAAGAGGGAGCCAUUGCUGUCAUGCCUCGGCGUGGGUGAAAACAUUCCCCUCGGAUUGUACUUUAUUUUCGACGCGGACGAGGGCGAGAAGGCUAAUACCCUCCGCAAUUGACGUGACCCGCAGAAUAACACCGGAUACCUCCCCGCCAGCAGCGCGGCAUUACGGAGGCGCAUGCGCUAGCCGAAAUUACUGGUCUGACAGCACUCUCAGGCAGACUUACAUGGCAGAGCCAAGACCCCCGUGCCUAACCUGGGAACUGCACUCCCUGCUGGCUUGAAUUACUCUCGUAGAGGGUGGAUCCCUUUCCUGAGGAUGAGAUAUAUGCGGAGAUCUCGGAAUUGACCCUGUUAGGCAGGCCCGCCCCAAGAAAGAGAACUUAAGCUCAUAAGCAAAGCGGAGAGAACGAAUAGGAUUCAGGCCCUGGUACUCACGCUAUAUAAAUUUCAACUUGUGGUCUGUACCCUGGGUAUUGAGUUAAGAAUUAAAUCAAUAAGCAGACAGCUGGACGACAGGUUUACAAGGUAAAACUGACAGAAAUCGCCCAGCCCCGGAAAAGGGGUUAACUCGAGGAUAAGUUAAACCUAACAAA